CUCAGCUGAGGGAGCAGUAGGAGCAGGUGAGGGUGCCCGGACUGCAAGACUUCCUGACUGUGCUGGGAUCCCUCUAGCAAUGUAAGUGUUCUCUCGCCUGUCUUCCCCUUUCCAACUAAAAUUCAGUUUCCUGGGACUGCGUCGCGUGUCGUCCCCAGUUGUUUCACACAUAGAGCACCCCAGGUGGGCUGCGGCCACUGCGGCCUGAAGGCGGACCUCGCCUCACCUCGGAAGCUAAGCAAGGUCUGGCCUGGUUAGCACAUGGAUGGGAGACCUGAAGGGGGACCAACCCCGCCAUCUGCCACGUGGUCACAGAGAUAAUGGGACAGGAAAUCUCAGUACCUACCAAUUGUCCCCUGGGAUGUCUCUUAAAAAACUGAAAGACCCGUGGACUCAACAGUCUCUGCAAGACAACACUGGAGUUUCUUUGCAACACAGCCUGGCCCCAACACCAACUGAGAAUCCUGGCCUGAGAACUGAGAAUGGGAGUCUUAACCUGAAUACUAUGCUAGUACUAGAUCAUUUUUAUAUAAGGGAGGGAAAGUGGUCAGAAAUUCCCUCUGUUCAGGCCCCUUCUUAAAGACUGAUGGGUCUUCUUUCUUCCCAGUCGAUUAGAGCCCAUGCAGAAGGGCCUGUAUCGGGUCUGCCCCCACAGGAGUCAAAAUGAAGGGGAUCGAGAGUUGGUACACAUCUCGACAGCCAAAGUGGUGGACGCUUAGAGCCCAGACACAGGCAAGGACACUGGGACAGCAGACACCUACAAGUGCAAACCAACUGGGAUUGAAGGUUCUCUUCAAAAUGGUGAAAUAAUUAAGCCUCACGGGUUAUGCUACCAUAGAUAGUAAAAAAAGUUUAUAUAUUUCCUGACUGUUCUUAGGUGAGCCUUUUUUGGAAACCUCCGCAUAUUAGAUAUAUUGGGCCAUGUGGGGAUAAUUUCGUGCUUGCCUAUUUUCAAGUACCCAUAAUUUUCAUAUUUUCAUUAUGGGGGAUUUCUUUUUUCUUCUAUGACCUGGUUGCUACCAUUCCUGGGAACUUUGGUGGCCAUCGUCCUUCUGUGAAUAUUUGGCCCAUGCAUUUUAACCUUAAGUUUGUGUCUUCAGGACUUCCAUAGUUCCACGUGAAGCUUAUGCUCUAGCUAGGGGAUUCUACGCCAUAGGGGAACAAGAUGAUACCACCACCCGUGGAGCUGCUGGAUAAGGCCACAAGUGCAGCCCUUCAGAGCUCACAGAGCCUGGGGAACAUCAUCCCUGUUCAGCUUGAAGCAAAUACAGAAGACAGAUCUUCAGCCCCAAACCCCAAAUUCCCGAUUGCAGUCACUCUGUCACACCCAUCCUGCUUGUGAAUUUUCCAAGCAAGGAGCCAAAGACCCAGGACAACAGUCUGCCAAGAGGCCAAACCUGACAAUGCCAAUACUUAUUUUGCAUUAUAAUCAGUGGAAUCUUA